rnacentral:lncRNA from 1 species
UUGUGAAUUAGUAAGAUAUUUUCAUGCUUCUGAUGUCAUACAGCUUAUCGAAACACGACUUCAAGAACAUUUCCUUAUAGACAUUAUCUAAUGCUUCUAUACUUUCUCUACAUUCGACACGUUGGAACGUAUUGUGACCUUUGUGUCACAUCGAUCAUCAAUGUUGUGUAUGUACUCCAUCCUGCAAACUGCAUAAGAUUAUUAGAUUUUUAGUUUUGAAGUAAAGGAUGGAACAAAUUAUAGAGGUGGAGUGGAACAAAAUAUAUAUAUAUUAAAAGUAUUUAUUUGACAAGAUCUCUAAAACUUAUUAAAUUCCACUAUAACCUGGGAAAGAAUAUGCAAAUUUAAG